CGCAAAUAUGUCAAUGAUGCCCAUGAUGACUGGGACCUCCAUCUCGAUGCAGUCAUCUAUGGCAUAAACACCACUCUGCAGGCAUCCACGAGGCAUACACCAUUCUUUUUAAUGUAUCACCGCCACCCAUUGCUGCCUGAGGUCCUGAACGCCUGUCCCCUGGCAGAAUUUGAGAUGGGCAAGCCUGACGACGAAGUGGACGAUGUGGUCAACAAAAUGAAGGCAGUUAAUGAGAAGGUUUUGCAGAACAUCGAAAGGGCGCAACAACGCCAGAUGAAGGGCUUUGCCACCCGCAAAGGCAAAAAAUUGCCAGUCCGCCCUAUUGGUGUUGGGGAUGAGGUGCUGGUGGUGAAUAACCCCCGUAACAAGUCCCUUAAAGAAGGACUGUCCGCC